GACGAACGCUGGCGGCGUGCUUAACACAUGCAAGUCGAACGGAAAGGCCCUGCUCUUGUGGGGUGCUCGUUUGGGGAACGGGUGAGUAACACGUGAGUAUCAUGCCCUUGUCUUUGGGGUAACAUCAGGAAACAGGGGAGCUUACAGGAUAGGAGCUCCUGCUGCAUGGUGGUGGAUGGUAAGUUACGGCGGUUGGGGAUGGACUAGCGGCUUAUCAGCUUGUUGGUGGAGUAGUGACUUACAAAGGCUUUGACGGGUAGCCGGCCUGAGAGGGUGACCGGCGACAUUGGUACUGCGAGAGGGCCCAGACUCCAACGGUACGCAGCAGGCGGGAGUAUUGCACAACGGGCGGAAGCCUGAUACAGCAACGCCGCGUGCGGAAUGACGUCCUACGGGUGAAAAACCGCUUUCGCAGGUAACGAAGCGUGAGUGACGGUAAUGGGUCAAGAAGCACCGGCUAACUACGUG
rnacentral:rRNA from 1 species